AGGUAUGAAGGCAUAUCUGAAUUUUCAGCAUGUCAAAUGAUUUUUCAGUUUCAAAAUUCUUGGAUUCUCACAAUGUCUCUUUCAACAGGACAUAACUAUGAAUAGUGGUGACUCAGAAUAUCUGCAAUCCUGUGUAAAAGGGAUGGGGGCCAAACAGGAAAUCAAGCUGUUGGCAGAUUUCCCAUUUCCCUUCAAGAACGUCCCAGGAUAAACCAGCUAAUAGAUGAAACUGGUAGAGAAAGGACAAAAAAAUGUGGUUCUUCAAAUAUACUCCAUUUUAUAAUCAAUAGGUGGGAAAGUACCAUUUUAUAUCUUAUACCGAAAGUCCGAGCCUCAUCAGUACACAAAGGUAAGGCUCUUUCAAAUCUCCCAGUUGGAAUCACUUCUUGUCUCUCUGUGUAUCUUUCAUCUUACCAGAGCUUCUCAGGAUUCAGUAAAAAAACACUAUUCCACAUUAUCAAAACCAGUAAUUCCUCUGAAAAGUCAGUCUCAAAUUCAAGGGAUCCAGAGGCUCCUGGGAUGUUUUUUUGUCACUUCCAUGGGUAUGAUUGUGAAAUGAUAUUCUGCAAGAAGUCCAAUAAUGGAAGCUCAUCAGUGGGACCUUUGUUAAUUGUCCUUUUCCACUAUGGUCAGAAACAGUAGUAAUGCAAAAACAUAAGUUCCAUGUGUGGCUUAGUUCUUAUGUAUCUCUGAUAAAGCUCUUUCAAUACCAUUUUUUCAGUAUUUGCCUGUAAAUGGUAUAAUUUUAAAAAAGCUGGUUUGUAUGCAGUUUUUGUGAAGAAAAAUAAUUCUCAUGUAUCACUUUUUUUUCAAUUGUGAAAAAACCCUAAAAUCUUCAAGAACAAUUCAUAAAUCCUGUGAUUUUAUACAUGUGAUUAUAUUCAGUCUUUCUCUCUGCACUUUUUAACUGUACUUGAAUGAAUAAAAUAACAGUGACUCUCUACAUAUAGGGCAUUAGAAUUAAAUUUGAAUAUGUUUCUAAUUUUCUUGCUCAUCACUGUUUUCCAAUGGAAAUCACUGGAAUAAACUGGCAGUUUUCCAGCUAUUAGUAA